AAGUGAUGGAACAAAAGGCUGUUCAGGAGGAGGAACACUCAGGGAGAAGCAGUGGCUCAUUGGCAGCCCCUGCUGCAGGAAGGAAGGCAAUGCCAGACACGGGCACAGGCACAGCAGAUGCAGCCGGCACCACAAGACCUGUUCCCAAUGCCCAGGAUGGCCUUGGAAGGGGUUUCUAUCAGGAAACAGGCUACUGGCUAGCGUUACUGGCAUUUCUGCUUUGUUUGGAGCUUGUCUUCGUGUUGUGCUUGUUUGGAAUCGGGUAUUUGGAAUCGGGAAGAGAAAACAGAGCACCUCGGGACAGGAGUUGAAAGACGGUGGCUGCACCUCACACCCAGAGAGCUUGAGCAGCUCCUCCAGCAGCAGGAACGGCCCAGACAGCCCUCUCAAGUGUUCUGUGAAGAGGACCCCAGAACAACCGUCGACAAGGAAGCCUCUUAUUGCCCCGUAGAUCCCACUGCCACCUGCUCUCCCCAUGGGCCUCCCCAAGCUUCCUUUAUUCCUUUUUUUCUCUCCGUCUGUCCCAUCCCAGCCAACCCGAGUUCCGCUAGGGACCCCAGGACCAGCCCAGCACCUUCCAGCACCUCCUGAGACCAACACAUCCCUUCCUCUGCCCCUGAGCCCCCUGGCCUUGCCCUCUGGGCAAAACUGAAGGUUGUGGAGGAUUUUGUGAACAGCUGGCUAGCUAACAAAGGUCACACUGACAUAACACCGUUAAUUAAGCAAGAAGGAGAUGAGGAUAGGAGUCAGCAGUCAGUGUCCAAACCUGGCAAGGGCACUGUGCCCUUGGUGCAACAUCAGGAUGGGGGAGAGGAUCGUUAGUUAGAAACAUGAAGAAAAUAUGUAAACAGCUGCAGCAUAGUAGCCUCAAGAAUGCUAAGGUAGGCGUAGUUAGCUGAUAAGUAACUAACCAAUAAUGAGCUCGCUUUUUGCAAUAUGUAUUAGCCUCAUUAACACCAAU